UACGGAGGGUGCAAGCGUUGUCCGGAUUUAUUGGGUUUAAAGGGUGCGUAGGCGGCCCUGUAAGUCAGUGCUGAAAUAUCCCGGCUUAACCGGGAGGGUGGCAUUGAUACUGCGGGGCUAGAGUACAGAUGAGGUAGGCGGAAUUGACGGUGUAGCGGUGAAAUGCUUAGAUAUCGUCAAGAACACCUAUAGCGAAGGCAGCUUACUAGGCUGUAACUGACGCUGAGGCACGAAAGUGUGGGGGAUCAAACAGG
rnacentral:rRNA from 1 species